rnacentral:rRNA from 1 species
AACGAACGCUGGCGGCGUGCCUAAUACAUGCAAGUCGAGCGGAUGAAAGAGGAGCUUGCUCCUCUAGAUUCAGCGGCGGACGGGUGAGUAACACGUGGGCAACCUGCCCUGUAGAUUGGGAUAACUCCGGGAAACCGGGGCUAAUACCGAAUAAUCCUUCGGACCUCAUGGUCCGAUGUUGAAAGACGGUUUCGGCUGUCACUGCAGGAUGGGCCCGCGGCGCAUUAGCUAGUUGGUGAGGUAACGGCUCAACAAGGCCACGAUGCGUAGCCGACCUGAGAGGGUGAUCGGCCACACUGGGACUGAGACACGGCCCAGACUCCUACGGGAGGCAGCAGUAGGGAAUCUUCCACAAUGGACGAAAGUCUGAUGGAGCAACGCCGCGUGAGUGAAGAAGGUUCUCGGAUCAUAAAACUCUGUUGUGAGGGAAGAACAAGUACCGGAGUAACUGCCGGUGCCUUGACGGUACCUCAUUAGAAAGCCACGGCUAACUACGUGCCAGCCGCCGCAGUAAUAC